rnacentral:lncRNA from 1 species
GGAAAGAUGAGGGUGGAUGGAAUAACAACUCAAGACGCUACUUGAAACCAUUAAGGUUUAUGAGCACGUUUUAAUCUAAUACAUAUUAAAAUGAUUAUAUUCUAUUUUAUCUCAUUAUAAAUUUAGCUUAUUUUUUCUCAUUGUAAAAAGAAAUAAUAGAAAUUUUUGAGACUCCAAACUAUUUUAAAAAAGAAAACUUUACAUUUUAUCAUCAGAAGAAAACUACUGUUAACAUUUUUAUAGUUACAUCUAGUCUCUAUCUGUCUCUCGUCAUAUUAACAUAUAUCUGAUGGUUAUCUCAUGGUGAAUGUAUCAUUUUUGUGCUAUGCAUUUUUCAUAUGGCAUUAUAUUGUGAACAAUUCCUAGUUUACAAAUUGUUAAUGAACAUUGUAUUCAGAGACUGUGUACUAUUGCACCCUUUGGUGAAAGAUCAUUUUUAAAAUUAUU